rnacentral:rRNA from 1 species
UACGGAGGGUCCAAGCGUUAUCCGGAAUCAUUGGGUUUAAAGGGUCCGUAGGCGGUUUUGUAAGUCAGUGGUGAAAGCCCAUCGCUCAACGGUGGAACGGCCAUUGAUACUGCAAGACUUGAAUUAUUAGGAAGUAACUAGAAUAUGUAGUGUAGCGGUGAAAUGCUUAGAGAUUACAUGGAAUACCAAUUGCGAAGGCAGGCUACUGCUAAUGGAUUGACGCUGAUGGACGAAAGCGUGGGGAGCGAACAGG